rnacentral:lncRNA from 1 species
AAUUAGAGCCUCAUACAUAUUCAUGUUGUUUAAUCCACACUCCAAGAGCGCUGCUCCCCCCAGCCCUCCCCUCGUCCCCCACCCCCAGCCGGGAAGGAUGGGAAGUUUCCUUUCCUUUCACAUUAGACUGAAAUCAAAUAUUUGAUGUGGCCAUAAUUAAAGGGAUGCGCACAUCUGAGAGUGGGAUUGGAGUGCUCUGCGGAUCCCCAAAACUGGGUCACUGGGUGCCAGAGUGAGUUUUGCAAGGCCUUUUGCUGGACUCCUCUCUGCAGUCCCCAGGCUCUGCUGCCCAGCUCAGAGGAGCGGCAGGGAACCAAGUGAUGGAUUCUCAGGCAGUCUUGCCUCUCUGUACUGAUCGCAAGGAGCAGGAGACCCUGCUGCUGUUUGCACUAUGCCAUGGAUUUAACCCCAAUGGGAUCAGGCCUUCCAGUCGCCUAACUAUCAACACCAGGGUUUGAUCCUCCGGGGGUAUAAGUCAGGACAGCUCCAAUGAAUCACAUGGAGGGACGCCAGUUUCCACCAGCAGAGCCCCGGCCCUCCUUCCCACGAGGGAGUCAUUAAGGAUUGAUCAGGCCCAUCCAACCAACUCCAAAUGGCCUUUAAACAUGCGAUCGAGUGUGCAGAAGAGCACCCUGCGGGAGAUGAGACUCGGGUGCUGGCAGGAAACGGAACCAAUGAAGAAUCCCGAGAUGAGUUGAGACUGGCAGUUUGUUUCAACAUGACAAGAAUAAGGAAAGGCGGUUCCCCGUUUUAUAUGUUUGUUAAAAAUUGGAACAAAGAUACACUCAGGAGAUCAGCGCUCUAUGCCAUGAUCACAUCCUGCUUGGAACUGCUCUUGUUCCUUCCCUGUUUCUUUCCCUUUCUCGGGCCCAAAUUCAGAUACAAUGAUACAAAUGAUGGUACAAACUGGACACCAGUAAACAAGGGAGAGUGGACAUAACUUACUUGCUAAUGGGGCAGAUAGGCAGGGCUGGGGCAGGAAAAGCAGCUAAGUGGAUGGUAAGAUAAGGCCCCCUGUAGCUGGGAGGGGUGACUCAGCAGACACACAGCAUUAGUCAGGAGCUAAUCUCUAUCACUAUGACACAAAGCCCUGCCGUGCUUCAGGAUCAAGCCGGUCCUUAGAACCAGGGUGCCAACCUAUUCCUCCCCAAAAGCCAUCUCCUUUUCCAGGCUCCCUAAGUACCUGUGGGAGCGGAGGGAAGCCAGUUAACCCCUCGCUCAUGGGGGAGCAAGGAUUGCCCCCGCGUCGUUACUUAUGCUUUCAUCUUGGUUAGUUUCUUGCCACAGACCCCACCUCCUGCCCGGCCCCCUCAAUGCGGAAGUGAUGCCAGUGUCCACACACUGCUCAAUAACUUACCCGCUGCUUUCGUCCCCUCUGAACGCGGAUCUCAGCCCCUCCUGUCUCAGGCUAUGCUCACGCAUGCCCAGGGACAGUCAGGAAGGUCUCACCGUUGUGUUCACCUUGUGUCACAUUCCCUUCUCCCUGCUCUUUCCAAUGAAGGGGGGAGGAGUUUCUCCAGAGCUCCAGCCAUCCUGUUCCAUCCGAUCCUAUCUUCCGUCCCACCAAUCCACACCCUCCUCAGGACACCGCUCUCUCUCUUAGAAACGAAACGCAGAUACUGAAAUGAACCCAGCUGGGAACAUGGCCCUACACACAAGGCACCAGCUCCUCCACUGGUGGAAAUCAACGUAACUCCACUGACUUCUACAAAGCUACCCCAAUUUCCACCAGCGGAGGAGCUGGCCCAAGAAAUGCAGGCAGCCAUGUGAGGCCCCCACUCCACCGGGAGAAGGACAAGAUCAUCACUGCACCCCUUUGAAAAAAUCAGACUUACAGUGUAAGUAGAAUGCUUCCGCCAACGUGCACAGGCAGAAAUUGUGGAAAAACAACAUCGCUUGCCUCAUAACCUAAAGUCGCGCAGAACGCAAUGCCAUUCACA